CCUCGUCUAGCCGGGGCCAGAAUGAGUGGGAAAUCCCACACUGAUUGGGGUGGUGUUGCUGUCGAAUGACUACAGUAACUACUGAGCAAUGUCACAUUGUCUGAGUAACUGUCUGAGGGGAUGAAUCCAUCUUUCCUCUAUUAUUUUCCCUUCCUGCUGCAGGUGCAGAGUCUCAUUGUUGCAGAAGUCUGUGAAGCAGCAGUUCCUCUUGGAGACAUUUCGGGAGCUGUAGCAGAAGACCUGGCCCCUCAUCUCAGAGGGCGACAGGCACGACUUGACCGUCUCCUCCUUCCCGUCAAUCAGCAUCACAGAGUUCCAGCAGGCGCCGUCUGCGGUCGUCUCACAGGUGUGGUUGGCGCAAAGAUGGCACACACACCUCAGACCUGAAACAUAUGACGUCACUCAAGAUGGUUAGAUAACUAUGUUGUCCACAGACACUUUCCCGUAGACACCAGUUAAUUCAAUGAUUCGUAAAAGCGCUGGGGGACACAGUUUCAUUCACAGACCGCCAUGGCUAGUGGUCUUUAACUCUUUAGGGGCUGCCGUUAUGUAAGCAGGUCCAUACUCUUAAAUGGCUGGAGGUGGAGGAACCAAAGUAAUGCCUCUUAGUUUAACACCCAGGUAAUCUUGUGUUCCUCUUGGAGCUGCUGUCAUGCUUUGUUUGAUAAGACUGUGAGUGAUUGAUAAGCAAGCUUGCACUGCCUGCUCACUGGAUACACAUGGAAAUAAACUGUAAGAAUAUAUUUUAUUCAGUUAAACAAUUUUUAGUAAGAAUAUGUUAUUCAAUUAAAAUAUUUUUAGUAAGAACAUAUGUUAUUAAAUUAAACAAUUUAAUAUAUGCAGUUGUUCACAUUUAUAACUGCACUAUCCAUAAUAAGGUUAAGGUCUCCACAGUGUCCAAGUAUAAAUCAGAUUAUAAAGUUGUAAAAACUUCUAGCAUAAAAUUCACUGGCAAACGGUAUUUUUUUUUAAUAAUAACCUAUUUUUUUACAUUUUGACCAUUGAAUAAGUAACUUCUCUGUACUUUCAUGCAGUUUAGUUUGCUCAGCGAUCAAAUAUUUUGUAAGUUUAAAAUGUAUUAGCUUUAUAAGCAUUGGAUUCAUAGCUGAGCUGUUUGCAGCCAUUCAGCUUCAUCCAUUUGAUUUACUGCCUUCCACUAAUUUAUAUUUAUGUAUAGGUUAAUAUUUAAGACCUAUAUUUUAACUUGCACUAUUUUAUGUCUUAGAUUCUCAUUUUGCUUUUACUUGUGUGAUUUUCCUUUUUUAUAUAUACAUUUUUAAUGGGCAUUGUUGGAGGGUACCUGAGACCCAAGAUUUCCAUUGCAAACGACUGCAUGCUGUAAUUGAUGUGCAUAUGACGAAUAAAGAAACUUGAAACUUG